rnacentral:lncRNA from 1 species
AUUAAAAUACUUUCAAAGAAAAUUUAUAGAAACAAAGAAACACUUAAUUUUUUUCAUAAGACAUAAAUUGAUCGAAACGUACAGACACACACAUAUAUAUACACGUAUAUGUAUAUAUAUAUGAAAGACACUUUCAUGACAACUUUAGCUAUCAUAUGCCUAGCCAUAGAUACCCAUGAAAUUGCUACUUAGCACGAUAAGAAGCAUUUCAUUUUAUUUAUUUAUUUAGGCUAAUUAAUUUCAUGCAUGCAUGCAUAUGCAUGAUUUGAUUUAAGAUUCUGAUCGAUAUAUAUUUAUUUCUUGGCGCGCGCCGUUAAUUGAAUCAUCAACAAUCAAAGUAACAGAAGCAUUUCCAACUGCCUCGUUUGUGACAUGCUCCAUGUUUUGCACCUUCCCAGCUCUGGCACUGCUUAUCACAGUGCUGUGUGUUUCCGCACUUCCCGGACCAUGUCAAGCUUGCUUUUUCACACAGUUUUCCCUCAACACCUGCACAAUUAAUUAAUUAAUAUACCAAAAGUUAAUUUAAGAAAUUCAAACACACUAGUAUGCAUGCAUACACUAAACAUUAAUCUUAAAAAAAUACAAAAUUAACACUGAUACGUACGAUCAUUUAUAUAUUAAGUUUUACUUUAUAUAUUGUGAAAAAAUUGCAAACUAACCAAAAUAAAAAUAAAAAUUCCUCGCAUGAUUAUGAAUAUUGAUCAGAAUAGUGCUGAUGGAAUAUUGCACCAACAUGCAUGCAUAUAUAUAUAUAUAUAUAUAUAUAUAUAUAUAUAUAUAUAUAUAUAUAAAACAAUAAAUGCACCGGAUGUAAAAUCCAGGCUCAUCGAACAUAGUUCGACCACAGUUCAUAUAUAUAAAUAUAUAUAUAAAAGCGAGUAAACGCACCAGACCGAAGUCUAGGCUCAUCGAACAAAGUCCGACACACAGUUGAUAUACGUAGAAGGGUGUGUGCAAAGAUGAAGAGAAAGACUCUAAAGUGUAUGAGAAGGCUUACAGCUGACUGAUAAAAAGGGCUUCUAUAUCUUUAGAGUGGGUAAACACUGGGCUUUUGUGGGUACAAAAGAGGCUAUAUAUGAGCUCACAGGUGUUUGAAAGUGGGAAAAUACACUGUAUGGCGAGUGCAGAGCAAAUUGUGCAGGGUUUCCCCGUCUUUUUUCUCUUAAAAAUCAGCACCCCAAGCCUCUUAUUUAUAGGCAAAAGGUGNNNNNNNNNNNNNNNNNNNNNNNNNNNNNNNNNNNNNNNNNNNNNNNNNNNNNNNNNNNNNNNNNNNNNNNNNNNNNNNNNNNNNNNNNNNNNNNNNNNNUAUAUAUAUAAAUAUAGGUCGAAAUUAAAGAUAAGUAGUCACCUGUGUUAGCAAGGAGGAAAAAAAUUAGAGAGACUGUAAUGAAGGUAGUUGGGCUAAAUUUUAUUGCCAUGUUUAAUCUUCUUGAAUUGAACUAAACCAUUCAUUCAUUUUGUGGGGAAUUUAUAGUAAAUGAUUCUUGGCUAAGUCCGUGUUUGAUUUAUAUUUUUAAUUUACACGUGACGGACAAUAUUCUUAGGACGUGACAAAUACGAGAAUAGUUGCCACUACCCUAUAUAAUACUCCCUCCGUUCUUAAAAGAUUAUCGUUUUAUAAAAAAUAAUUUAUUUCAAUUUAUUUGUCGUUUAUAACUAUCGAAGAGAAUAAAUUAUUUACUUUCUUUUAUCACCCCUAGUCCUACGUACCUUCUCUCAUUUUUUCAAGAAAUUCUCUCCCUUAAUAAUUUUUAACUUCCCAUAAAAGAGUAGUGAUGAAAUUUCAAACAAAUUUUAAUUAUUAAAUGAUAGUGAGAUAAUAUAUAUAUAUAUAUAUAUAUAUAUAUAUAUAUAUAUAUAUAUAUAUAUAUAUAUAUAUAUAUAUAUAUAUUAUACAGUCAGAGUCACGCCUCCAUUGUUGAAAUUUUGUAGCAGUGUCCGCAAAAUGACUUGUUCCAUGCAUGAUAGAAAGCAUUUAUGUUUGUGAUCAUAUAAUGUUGGUCUAGAAAUCUUUUUGCUGCCUAAUUUCUCUCUCAUAUACGUACAAAUAAUCAUAGAAAUGCUUCCAUUAUUGAAGUUUGGUAAAACUAAUUAUUUCUCUACUGUAUUUGACAUCUUUUAUUUAUUUUUUUAUUAAAAUUUUAAUUUAUUCAACUAAUAUUUUAAUUUAAUUAAAAUAAUGAAAUUAAAUAGACGUUAACUUACUUCAAUUUUUUGACAAAACUAAUAAUUUUCUUACUUACUCGACAUAUUUUAUUUAUUACAACACUAAAAUUCAUUUAUGUGAAAACCAUCACAAUUUGCAUGACUUGAUAAAAGAAUCAAAUGACAAAAAUUCAAAUACGUGAAAACGGAAGUGGUUAACAUAAAAUUUAUUUUUGGGUAAGUUGGUCAAUUAAUUAAUAAAAUAUUGACAUACAAACGAUGUUCUAUAUGUAUCAAUAUUUUAUUAAUUAAUUGACAAAUUUACUUAAAAAUAAAUUUCACACUGACCGAAUCCCGUAAAAACCAUCACAAUUUCCAUAUGCAGGAGUUAGGACCCACUAGUGGGUAGUCAUAUCUAGCCUUGCAAGCCACGUGUGUGGACCCCCAUAAUUUCAUUUUUCAAAUAACUUGCUUUUCUUGACAAUCUAUGGGGAAGGGGAAGGGGAAGGAAGCGGAAAUUUUUGGGUUUUUUAGUAGAGAAGUGAUUAUGAUUUUCUAUUGAGUUUUUUUUAGAUGGAUAUAAAAAUUAGAUUAAAAUAUAUUAAAAUUUUAUUUAUUUAUAUUUUUAAUUUUUAAUAUAAAAAUUAAAAUAUAAAUAAAUAAAAUUUAAAUAUAUUUAUAUUUAAUUUUUAUGUUCAAUUUUACUUAAUAAAAUAAUCAAAUGACAAAAAAUUCAAAUAUGUGAAAACCAUCACGAUUUGCAUAUGUAGGACCCACUAGUGGGUAGUCAUAUCUAGCCUUGCAAGUCACAUGUGUGGACCGCCAUAAUUUCAGUUUUCAAAUAACUUGCUAUUCUUGACAAUCUUUUGGGAUGGGAAAGAAAGGGGAAUUUUUUUGAUUUUUAGUGAGGAAGUGAUUGUGAUUUCUCACUUACCUUUUUUUACUGGACAUCAAAAUUAGAUAUAAAAUUAAAAAUUAAUGUAUUUAAAUUUUAUUUAUUUAUAUUUUUAUCUUUUAAUAAAUAUCAAAAUAAAACUAAAUAAAAUUUAAAUAUAUUUAUAUUUAAUUUAUAUAUCUAAUUUUUAUGUUCACCAACAAUUUUUAUUUCUCAAUAGUACAUCCACGGAAAUUGCAUGUUUCUCGUUAAUGAUUUUGGAGUGACAGAAGUGGUGGGCCUUUUUUCUAGUCUAUGUUAUGCAGAGUUGGAUGGAUUGUUUGGUUAAAUACGCAAUUUUGUAUAGUGUUAUUUAAAUAUUUUUUUAAUUUUGUCAUAUUUUUACACUAAAAUAAAAUAUUUAAUAUUUAUAUUUCUGUUCAAAUGUGGAGUGUUGAACACAAAUAAUUCAAAAUAAAAUAAAGGAUAAAAUGAAGAGUGUGUAACAUAAUUUCUAGUACAAUGGAGUACUCCAUACGUUUCAAAAUAACUGUUCAGUUUUAAUUAUUUUGAUCAAAUUGAUUAUUUUUAAAAUUAAUAAUUAAGCACAUAUAAAUAUUUUUUAAAAUUAUAAAAAUUGAAAUUGAUAAUAAAUCAUAUGUAGUUUGUUAGUGUCAAUCCCUUCACCUAUAUUUUAGAUACAAAAAAUUUAAAAAUAAUUAAUUCGACCCAAAAAAUAAAAUAAAUCAAAACUGGUCAUUGAUGGUGGGAGGAUUGGGGGGAGUAUUACAUAUAGAACUUCCACUCUCAUCUCACGUCAUGCAAAGAUAAGGAUCCGGUUAGUAUAAAUACUCCGCCAUCAGCCUGGUGAUAUAGCGGUGUAUUUAAUUAUUUUUUUAUUACGUGAUGUGAUUACGUGUUGAGGGGGAAAUUGUUGAGGUAGUAAAGUCUUACAUGCAGCAUGACACAUGCUUUUGAAUAACAAUGACAUGCAUAUUGAAAUAAAUAUAUAUUGAAUUAAACCAUUUUGUGGGGUAUUUAUUUGUUUCACCGUUCAUGCAUGAUAUAUAUUGAAGCAUGUAUUUUAGAAGAAUCUUAAAAUAUCAAUUCUCAAUUUCAAGUUGAAUUUAAUUUAGAAGAGAAACUUGUCGCGGAUCAAGAAUUAAGACCAUCUAUAAUGAAAUAUGAUGCUAACAUAGAGAAAAUAUUGGUCAAGAAUAUUUACUUAAGGGCCCUCAUGAUCAACCAAUGAUUUGUUAAUAUUAUUAUGAUUAGUUAAUAUACUGAUUAGUAUAUGUUUUUUUUAAUUUAAUUUUAACAAAAAAUUUAGUUAAAAUACGCCUUUGUUUGGAAAAAUUUCUGAAUGAUCCGCUCAUGUGUAAGGGUAAUAUAACAAUAUAUAGUAUAUUUUAAAAAUAAAAAUAAUAUGUCCUCCAUUCCCUCAUUCAAAACUCAGAAACAAUAAAAAAUAUAAUUAAAAUUCUCAUCAUUUUUCUUAUUUUUUAAAACACACAAAUAUAACGAAAAAAAAAUUAUAAUCCAUUCCCCUCUUAUUCUUACCCUUCACAUUCCAUUCCAUCCCAUCCCAUCCCAUCAAACUGACAAGCACAACAAGUUAUAUAUGAUGAUAAUCAUAAGCGUCAAUAUAGAUUAAUUUUUCAGAAGUAUUACACGCCAUAAUUAUAUUGAAGUAUUUUCAAAGAAAAUUUAUAGAUUAAUCAAAGAAACACUUAAUUUUUUCAUAAGACAUAAAUUGAUCGAAAAGUACAGACACACAUAAUAUAUAUAUAUAUAUAUAUAUAUAUAUAUAUAUAUAUAUAUAUAUAUAUAUAUAAGACACUUUCAUGACAACUUUAGUUAUCAUAUGCCUGCCUAGUUAUAGUGACCCAUGAAAUUGCUACUUAGCACCAUAAGAAGCAUUUCAUUUUAUUUAUUUAUUUAGCACGAUAAGAAGAAAUUUAUUUCUUGGCGCCGUACGUUAAUUAGAUCAUCAGCAAUCAAAGUAACAGAAGCAUCUCCGAUCGCGACAUGCUCCACGUUUUGCAGAUUCCGCGUUCUGGCACUGCUGUUCACAGUGGCCUGAGUCUCCGCACCUCCCGGACCAUGUCACGCUUAGUUUUUCACAUAAUUUUCCCUCAACACCUAUAUUUGUUUCUGCACAAUUAAUUAAUAAAUAUACCAAAAGUUAGUUUAAGACAGUCAAACACGUACAUGUAUUUAAUACUAAUUAAUAUUGUUGAUUAUGAAUGCAUGCACUAAAAAUUAAUCUUUAAAAAAAAUACAAAAUUAGCACUGGUAGGUACGAUCAUUUAUAUAUAAACUUUUACUUUAUAUAUUGUAAAAAAAUUGCAAAUUAAAGAUAAGUAGUCACCUGUGUUAGCAAUGAGGAAAAAAAUUAGAGAGAUUGUAAUGAAGGUAGUUGGGCUAAAUUUUAUUGCCAUGUUUAAUCUUCUUGAAUAUAUUGAACUAAACCAUUCAUUCAUUUUGUGGGGAAUUUAUAGUAAAAGAUUCUUGGCUACUAGGUUUGAUUUGCAUGUUUAAUUUAGAUGUGAAGACGCGUGACACAAUACAAGAAUGGAGUAUAUAGUUGGCACGGGCCCUAUAUAAUAUAGUAUAUCCGGCCAGCUGCAAAAUGAAAGCACUUUGCUGACUAAUUAAUUUAUCAUAUAAUCAGAGUCCCGCCUCCAUUGUUGAAAUUUUGUAGCAGCCGGCGGCUACUUUAAAGGCCGCAAAAUGACUUGUUAAUUCCAUAUUCCGUCACGUAUUCUUGCUUUUUUAGUAAUGCAUCGACUUAAAACUUUCUCUGCAGUAUGGACGAAGCUAUUUCGUCGCACAACAAGUUCCAAUCGGCAACCCAAUUGACCAACCAUCUCCUUAGACUCGCCAGAUUCACACCCAUCAUCUCCUUUUAAAAAAAAAGAAAAAGUCCAGCCAAAUCAGGGAAGUGAUGCCAUUUAUCACCGAUGGCAUAUUUCUACGUACAGAUCAGAGAGAAAGAUCAAAUAAACAAAGAUUGAUUAAUAAAACCCUAUCAUCCACCUAAAAAGGUGAACAUCUCCACCCCAUUCAUAUCUUCCUAAUAACUGGUUUCAGAUUCAUGCUUGUUAGAUAUGAAGACUUGAUGGGCUUGGGAGAGACUCUCGGUGGAUCAAACAAGAGAUAGCGUGAUACUAAAGUCUCACAUCGAAAUAUAAGAACAAAGAUGUAAGAAAUAUAUGAUCUAAUGGACCAUAAACAUAAUAGAUUAACUUUUUUAUACAAGAUGUGGUUUCAGAUUAACACAAACUAUACAUAAAAAUUAUGCACAAAAUAGUAUAAAAAGGGAGUAAAAAUAAAAAUUGGACCUACGAUUAUAUAUUUUACGUAUUUAAUUUUUAUGUGACUAAUACACAGUUCCGAUACUUAUGAGAGAAAUUUUAUGAAAAUAUAAAUUUUAUUUGUGAAAAUAUAAAUUUUCUACGUUUAAUUAUACAUCAAUCAUUUGAUUAGAUGGGAUUUGUUUGUGGACAAAGUUUUUUAAAUCUACUGCUGGUCGCUGGUUAAUAGCAACAGUAAAGUUGUAGAAGACUACUGUUGUAGUGAAGGAUAUGGGUGUAAUUUCCUCGAAUAACGCACAUGGGAUAGCUUUAAAUAUGCUGGAAUGGUAUGUGGGAUACUUUUCCGUCAUUUAGGAUAAGGCUUUAAUUAGUGGACCAAUUGCAUAUCAAGUACAUGCAGUAGUGGUUCAUGAAUUAGGUUUGAAUGCUUGCAGAAAUAACAAUUCUUUACUUUACGAGUUAGUAAUUUUUUAAGUGGAUAUAAAAAUUGAAUUUAAGGGUAUUUAAAAUUUAUUUAUUUAUAUUUUUAUUUAUUAUUGUGAAUUAAAAUACAAAUAAAUAAAAUUUAAAUACACUCAUAUCUAAUAAAGAAUUUUUGUACGUUUAAUUAUACAUCAAUCAUUUGAUUAGAUAGAAUUUAUUUGUGAACUAAGUUUUUUGAUUCAACUGCUGGUCGUUAUUUGGUCACUGCUACUUUCAUUCUUAUAAGAUUGUCGUUUAAAAUUUUGACACAUGGAUUAAGAAAGUAUCAUUUAUCAAGGAAAUUUUAUUUAAAAUUUCAUCACUACCCUUUAUAGGAAGUUGAAAACUAUUAAUAUAAGAGAAAGAAUUUUUUGGGACAAUGAAAGAAGGUAGGGGUAAUAUAGAAAAAUAAAUAAUUUAUUCUCUUUGAAAGUUGUAAACGAUAAAUUUUGUAGAAUAAUUUUUUUUCCUUCUAAAACGACAAUACGAGGGAGUAGUUAAUAGCAAUAGUAAAAGUUGUAGAUGAAGGAUAUGGGUGUAAUUUCUUCAAAUAACGCACAUGGGAUAGCUUUAAAUUAAUUUAUAUACGUUAGAGUAGCAGGUGGGAUACUUUUCAAUUAUUUAGGACAAGGUGUUAGUUGAGUAAUUGCAUAUCAAGUACAGUAGUGGUUCAUGUAUUGGGUUUGAAUGUUUGUAGAAAGGAAAUUUGUAGGAAACUGAUAUUUCUAAAUAUUAAAAUUAUACUUUUACACGAGUACGUUUGUCUCAGUUCUCAAUUUGUAUCAAUCAAAUAAUUUCUCUUUUUACAACAAUUUUCGUUAUUAAAGGCUUUAAUUGAUUAAGUCUGUUGAAUUAAUAGUCUUAUUUCAAUAUUAAUAAAAAAUUUCCUUCAUAAAGCUAUCAUAGUUAAGUUAAGGCUACAUAAACAGAUAAACUUAUCUGGGCCUAAAGUAUUGCAUAUGACAUGGGAUACUAGCUAAUUUAUAAUCAGAAUAUGGGUAUAUUUUGAAGUUUUGUAGGUAAAGUUAGCAAAUUGCUUUGUUUCAUAAUAUUUAAUUAUUUAUGAUUGGGAGUUUGGUGAGCAAAGAAUUAAAUAGAGAAAAUAUAUUCACUCAUCUCCUGCCCCUUAAUUCAAUUAUCAUAAAAAUGGUUCCCUUUUUUCUUCUUCUUUAUCUUCCUCUCUAUGCCUUCGACACAAAAUCUAACCAUAUAUAUAUAUAUAUAUAUAUAUAUAUAUAUAUGUGGUACAUAAUAAUCACUUGAUAUAUUUUAGUUUGGUUUGGAAUGAUCGAAUUUAGUGGAGGACGCCCAUAUACUCCUUUUACUACCACAAGGAGUUGUGUGGAAAAUCCCAAAAAUGUAAAUUUCUGAAUGGAGGGAGUAUCACUACUGAACAAAGAACUUGGUCCCUUAGAUUUUGGAUUUUCAAAUUAAACCCACUUAAUAAAUAAUUAAGUUAGGACUAUAGCAAUGCUAUAUAUCAUGAUACCAAAGGCUUUUGGCGUUAGUGGUAUUACUCAACCCAGGGUAACUAUGAGAUUGAGGGCUCGAGCCUUGACAUGCUAAGGUUGAGUGUGUGAGUUUCAGUUCUUGUCUAAAUUAGCAAGUAUAUAUGAUUAGUCAGCAUACAACUGAAUAAACAAAAAAGGAUCAUUAAAAGCUUAUGAGUGAGCUUAGUUUUGAGAAUUACAAGGGAAGAUAAAAGUUUUGAAAGAACUUUCUCUUUCCUAUCUAUUCAUAAGACUCACAAACAUUAAUUAUAUUGGCCUAAAGUACGUACUUCAAUAAAAGUACUACUACUACUGCAUGAUAAGAAACAUAGAAACACUUAAUUUAUUCAUAAAACAUUGAAACGUACGUACGAUGGAUCAAAACAGAUACAUGAAACAACUUCCAGCCAUAAUGAUCAUGCGCUAGCAUUUUCAUGCGUGCAUGGUUUAAGAUUCUUAAUAUAUUCCCUUCCCAGGUAUUGGUUCAACAAUCAAAGUAACAAAAGCAUUUCCAAUUGCCUCGUUUGUGACAUGCUCCAUGUUUUGCAGAUUCCCAGUUCUGGCACUGCUUAUCACAGUUCUGUGUGUUUCCGCACUUCCCGGACCAUGUCAAGCUUGCUUUUUCACAUAGUUUUCCCUCAACACCUAUAAUUGUUUCUGCAAAAUUAAUACACCAACAAUUAUUCUAAUUAAGCAAAUUCAGAAUAGUUGAUUAUGUAGUGUAUAUAUAUAUAUAUAUAUAUAUAUAUAUAUAUAUAUAUAUAUAUAUAUAUAUAUAGCAAAAAUAUUCAAAAUCAUGAGAUCGAUCAUUUGUAAAUAUUUUUAUUUUAAGGUUAAUUAAUUUCAAGGGUCUAACAUACAUUAUGAUCACUCCCCAUGGAGUAACCAAUCUUAUUACUAUACUUAAUACUCAUCCAAAAACGUGUUUCAAUAGUGCUGAUACGAUCAUAACUAAUAAAUUAUGUCUUAUAUAUUNNNNNNNNNNNNNNNNNNNNNNNNNNNNNNNNNNNNNNNNNNNNNNNNNNNNNNNNNNNNNNNNNNNNNNNNNNNNNNNNNNNNNNNNNNNNNNNNNNNNNNNNNNNNNNNNNNNNNNNNNNNNNNNNNNNNNNNNNNNNNNNNNNNNNNNNNNNNNNNNNNNNNNNNNNNNNNNNNNNNNNNNNNNNNNNNNNNNNNNNNNNNNNNNNNNNNNNNNNNNNNNNNNNNNNNNNNNNNNNNNNNNNNNNNNNNNNNNNNNNNNNNNNNNNNNNNNNNNNNNNNNNNNNNNNNNNNNNNNNNNNNNNNNNNNNNNNNNNNNNNNNNNNNNNNNNNNNNNNNNNNNNNNNNNNNNNNNNNNNNNNNNNNNNNNNNNNNNNNNNNNNNNNNNNNNNNNNNNNNNNNNNNNNNNNUAUAUAUAUAUAUAUAUACUUCAAUCGUAAAAAUAUUAAUUCUAUGCGAUUUAGCUCCAAAAGUUUUUAAAAAAAAACAAAGGAACCCUUAAUUUACAAUGAAAUUAAAACACAAAUUAAUGAAGUAGUCACCGGCUCACCUGUGUUAGCAACAAGGAAGAAAAUUAGAAAGAUUGCAAAGAAGCUAACGGGGCUACUAGCUUUAUUUGCCAUGCUUGAUCGAUCUUCUCAAAUUUAAGUUGUGCCUAACAGGAAGAAGAAUAUGAAAGGGUAUUUAUAGUCACUCUCUUUUCCCCAGAAAAGAUAAUGCAUAAGGUUAUUUAUGGUCAAAGUUUCGUGUUUGAUUUGCAUGGUAAUGCUGUGAUGACGGUAAGAUCCCAAAUUAUUAAUAAAUGAAAUUUAUUUUCUUCUAUUUAUUAUUUUGAAAUAGUAAGGGUUGAUUUGAUUAAUGUGGUUAGUUAUGGUUAAAAUGCACAAAUAUUUCAAAUAAGCAAGUGGUUAUAAAAUAUUCAUUGUUGUCGGGAAAUAUUCGUUUGGUCGUGGAAUAUUCGUACUGUCGGGGAAUAUUCGUACGACGGCGCAGCCUUGUGUGGGCCCCAUAAUGGAAAGCGAUUGGAUGAAGAAAACGACAAAUAUAAGUUGUUUAUAAAUAACGGCGUAGUUGUUACCGUUAAUACUGUUGGAAUACCCGGUGGUUAAAACACAGUAAUACGCGUUGUUGUACAGUAGCACACGGUAUUGCACCAAUUAUUGAUUCUUACGUAAGAAGGCACUACUCAAUAAUGGUUACAGUAAUUACUGUUCAGUAUUUUAUUUUAUUGAUUCAAUAAUUGCUGCGUUGAUAUUUUAUAUUGCUGUUGUUUCAAUAAUUGUCAUUACACAGUAUUUUUCAUUAUCGAAGCAAUAAUUCAUAUUAUCUGAAUAAUAUUAUUAGAUAACAUUAUUGGCAAUGUCUAGAAAGUUCUGUCUAAGGAGAGGUUUGGUCACCUAAUUGCGCGCCAGUAAGGAGAAAUUCUUAUUGGAAAGCCCCCUCUUUCCUGGGAACUGCCUGGUUGUCAAUAUUGUGAUUCUGUAAUAUUAUUUGUGAAUAAUUAAUUAUUGAUUCAUAUGAUGAGGAAAAUAUUGAUUUUAUGUGGAUAUAGAUGGAGAAAAUUUUUAAUGUGACAAUUGUUGAAAAUUGAAAUUUUAUCUUUUUCUGAUAAAAUAAUUCAUAUAUAUAUAUAUUAUUAUAUUUUAAUAAUAUAAUAAUGGUGAUAUUUUUACAACGAAUGUGGGAUAUAUGAGUAUACGAGGAGGAAGAGUAUUUUUGUUGCAAUAAAUGUUUAAAACAUGUUAAACAUGUCGGUGGACCCCAUUUAUUGACUGAAAUUUGAUUAUAGCCUCUAAAAUCACCCGUUUAUGGAUUUCGGUCAAUUUCUGUUGGGAAUUUAGAAAAACUUUCUUCUGCAAAGUUGUAGAGAAUUGGAUUUCCUAUAAAAACUCGCGAGAUUCGAAUUUUCUGAUAAAAGGGCUAUUUAUUGUGAAUUAUUGAAGUUCCGAAGCUCCGAAAUAAUUAAUUUUUGGAAGUUUAAAUUAUUUUAAAUUAGAAAAACGUUUUUUUUAUUUUCUUCUAGAAGGUUGGCAUGUGUGAAUUGCUGAGAUUCAGAUUUCAAAGAAUACGUAUAAUAUUUUUAUAUAUAUUAAUAUUUUAUUAAAUUUUCUGCUUUGGUGUUCUAAGCAUUUUCCUAUAAAUAGGGUGCUUAGGUUAGAAUUGAAAAUCACACCAGAAACUGAAGUUUUCUCUCUCUAUAUUAUCGAGCGUAUUCUUGUGAGUAUUUUGAGUAUACUUUGAGUAUUGCUAUACGGUGAAAGUUCAAGUUAUAGCCUAUAUCCAGUAUUCCAGUUAGAAGUACUGAUCUUUCGAGGUAAGGGAUAUUUUUUUUUUUCGUAAUGAUAUUAUUUCUUCAAUAUCAUUAUGCUGAAAUAUUGAUCUGAAGUUUUUAUCAAAUUUGGAACUUUUGGUGUCGGAGUUACUAUUCACGUAUACGGCACUAUUCACGUAUACGGUACUAUUCACGAAUACGGCACUAUUCAUCGAAAAAUGAAAAUUUUUCUUUUCGUCCAAAAUAUCUAUUGUGGAUACUAGCUUUGAUUGUAUCCAUGUUUUGAUCAUUCUUGAAUUUUACACCACUAUGAUUAUUUUUGAGGUAUUUUUGGACGUGGAUAAAACAAAGUACGAAUCCUUAAUCCUUAAUCCUUGUCAUUUUGAUUCACUGGAUUCGUUUUUUUAAAAAAUAUUUUUCAUCAUCCUCAGUCUUAAAUGAUGAUAUUAAUGAAUAUCUUUGGCCUGUAGUGCAAAGAUGAAUGAUUUCUGAUGAAUAUCUUUGGCCUGUAGUGCAAAGAUGAAUGAUUUCUGAUGAAUAUCUUUGGCCUGUAGUGCAAAGAUGAAUGAUUUCUGAUGAAUAUCUUUGGCCUGUAGUGCAAAGAUGAAUGAUUUCUGAUGAAUAUCUUUGGCCUGUAGUGCAAAGAUGAAUGAUUUCUGAUGAAUAUCUUUGGCCUGUAGUGCAAAGAUGAAUGAUUUCUGAUGAAUAUCUUUGGCCUGUAGUGCAAAGAUGAAUGAUUUCUGAUGAAUAUCUUUGGCCUGUAGUGCAAAGAUGAAUGAUUUCUGAUGAAUAUCUUUGGCCUGUAGUGCAAAGAUGAAUGAUUUCUGAUGAAUAUCUUUGGCCUGUAGUGCAAAGAUGAAUGAUUUCUGAUGAAUAUCUUUGGCCUGUAGUGCAAAGAUGAAUGAUUUCUGAUGAAUAUCUUUGGCCCGUAGUGCAAAGAUGAACAGGUGUUUAGAUGAACAUGACCAACUGAUGAAUAUCUUUGGCCUGUAGUGCAAAGAUGAAUAUUUGAUUCCAGAUAUAUAUUGAUUGAUGUUACAGGGAAAAAAAUAGACGAUGAACUUUAAAAUUCAUACAUAGAAGAUAGUAGUUUGCAUUCUCUACUUAACUCUUCUAAUGAAUUAUUAUUUCCGCUGCGAAUAUUGAUUUAAAACUUGUUGUCUAUUGUAUUCUAUUAGAUUUUUCCCUGUUGAAGACUAACGAUAAUUUGUUGUAUAUUAUCUUAGUCAUAAUAUUCUUUACUGGGCUAGUUGAGCUCACCCUUUUCCUUUUUGUUCCAUUUUUCUUCUCAGGAGGCGAGAAUGUAGCGAGUACUAGUCGGGGUAUGGAAUGAAGGUUCUAGAGAGAGUUGUUUAGUAGUCCUCGCCAUUUUUGUAAAAUAAUGUAUUAAUAAUUAUGAUGGGAAUUUAUUUGCGUGUGGAUAUUGUCUAGAUGGCAAUAUCUGUAUUUAAACUCACAGUUUAUAUGUUGUAAUAAUAAAGUUGUAGUUAUUUCUGUACCAUGUAUUUGGCGACUCAAAAUGGGUUGGAUGGAAUGGACCUAUUUUGGGGGCGUCACAAUGACACUGCAUGAAAAUGUUAGGAGAAAAGCUGCCACCUAGCAGAAUACAAGACAGUUGGCACUCUCUCAAAUCAUAUGUUGACUAGGCAGUGUUUGAUUACCUCUUAAGGGCUCUGAAUGAAUUUGCCUCUGAUUCGGUCAGAGACAAAUUUUGUUUGACAAAAUUUUUUUACUUCUUAAUGGCUCUUAAUGGCUUAGACACAAAAAUAAUUCUAUAGUAUUAAGAGGAAUGUCUGAGCGAAUUUAUAUUAUUUUUAGACAAAAAUAUCCUCUUUUAACCUUACUGAUCUCUGUGUUGCUGCACUUCAAUCCGCUGCUUUUCUCUCCGCUGCUGCUAUACUCCUUCGUUGUUGUUUGUCGGUACUAAUUUUUAGUAGGAUAGAGGGAGUGACAGAAUACAUCAUAGCUAUGGAUACUUUGUGUCGGAAAUCGGCAAUGACGACCGUCGAAAAACUGCUCUGCCGCCUUCAAUGCUACCGAAACCCCAGCUGGUACUUCUCGGCAGUAGAUGCUGACUUCCACGGAUGUGUAUACCCAAAACAAGCCACCGAUACUGCACAACAAACAUUCACCACCAAAAAGUACGCCGAAAAUAUUUUACUCUGCAGAUUACCAAACUAAUGCCUCGGAAGAUUCCUAAAAAUCAAAUACAAGAAAAACACCCAAUUUGAAUGCAGGGUGGGAGAAAUGGAGGAAAGAGAAAUAGAAGAGAAAACAAAGUCUUUUGCUGUAAUCCAUGAAGUUCAUGAGAUGAGAUAUUGACAACGUAUAUGCUGUAAUCCAUGAGGUUCAUGAGAUGAGAUAUUUGUAUGAUUGAUUGAUGCCAAAUUUAAAGCCCUCCGAUUUGUAAAGGAAAAUCGAAAUUAGAUCAUUGGAAUUUGCAGGUAGUAGUAGAGUGGUGGUAGUGGUGAUAGAAUUUAGUAGUACAGAUGGAGAUGGAGUUCUGACACUUGUAGAAUUUUGCAUAUAGUUAAAAUUAUACAUUGAAUGCAAAAGUCUUUGUUUUCAUUUACAAGGUUAAAAUUGUAAAAUAUUGUAAUUAAGAUGUUUUAACAAUUUCAAUUACCAAACAGCUUUAUAAAUUCAGAUGCAAUUUCAUUCAGAUGAUCUAAUUUAUUAGGAUGUCAUAACCAUUCAGAUCUUAAUUACUCAAUUUUAUCAAACACCACCUAAAUGUAUAAUUUAUCAAAGUCGGGCUGUGAUUGGGUCGAGUGAAAGGUUCAUUUGGCCCAUUGGGACAUUUUGAUUCCAACCCAUAUAUGUUAAGGUAUUGCUUUGCAGUUUGCUUUUCAAUUUUUCAAGCAAUUAAGUAAACUUCAUUGAGCCUAAAGUAUGGGCCCGUCUAGUCCUUUUAUGGAGUUGAGUACUCCUUUAAUUAUCAAUUUCUUACUUGGUUUCCUAAAUUUUGAAGUUGAUAUAUAUCAACUUGGCACAACCAAUUACAUAUGAUGGAGAUUGCUGGAAUAAUCCCCGAUUGUUAUAUAUGGAUUAUAUAUAUAUAUAUAUAUAUAUAUAUAUAUAUAUAUAUAUAUAUAUAUAUAUAUAUAUAUAUAUAUAUAUAUAUGGUACAUAAUAAUCACUUGAUGUAAUUUAGUUUGGUUUGGAAUGAUCGAAUUUAGUGGAGGACGCCCAUAUACUCCUUUUACUACCAUAAGGAGUUGUGCGGUAAAUCCCAAAAAUGUAAAUUUCUGGAUGGAGGGAGUAUCGAUCACUAUUGAACUAGGGACUUGGUCCUUUAGAUUUUGGAUUUUCAUAACCACUUAUUAAAUAAGUUAGGGCUAUAGCAAAGCUAUAUAUCAUGAUUAGUCAGCAUACAACUGAAUAGAUAAAAAAGACAAGUUAAAGAUCAUUAACAUUUAUAGUGUGUUAUCGGUUUUAAGUCGAUCGUCAUACAGAACAUUUUUCGCUGAAAUUAGUGAAGAUAGAAUACUUUUUUUUUAAAAUAAAUGACUUGAGAGUCAUGAAAUAGUGAAAAUGAAACAAGGCAAAGAGAGAGACAAAGAUUGAAAGUGUAGAACAAAAUCUUUUUUUAUAUGAUUCUUAAUUCUUUAGAUUAGAUUCUUGGUGUGCAAGAGCGGAGCCAAGAAAUUUUUCCUUCCUGAGCUAUUAAAUUGAGUGUUGGCCACUAGAACGUCAUGAAAAUAGCCCUCGUCGACGCUUACAAACCGAAUGUUGUCAAAUGGUAUCGGGGUUUGAGCUUAAAAUGACUCGCUGCGGUGCCUCUUUGGUGCCAUUUUAAUUUCUCAAAUAAUAACAAACUGGUGCAUGCCAAACACCCCCCAACUUGCUCAAAAACCAAUGUUUCUCUCGCUCUCUCGAGACUUUUAUCGAAUACCUUGAGGACGUUGUUUUAUAGCCCAUUUCUCUCUCUUGUUUGAAUGUUCAAUAACAAGUACACAAGCACCCAACAAUCAUAUAUAUAAUAACAAACUUGAAUAGACUAAAUUAAGCCCUAAUCACCCCAAACUGUCAAAACCAAACUUUAUCCAACUAAUUGUAAAGUAGAUCUGUUGUGUGAAUUUGUGUGUUUCAAAAUUUCUUUUAAAUGAGUACAUGGUUUACAUAUUCAAAACCUAAAAAUUAUACAUGUCUAAAUUAUUAAUUCCAAAAAAAUUAUUACAAAUUUCUCAAAUAAAUAUAUGCUUAACCAAAAAUUAGUGUUCAAUUAAUUAGUUAGUGUAUGUACUUACAAUUACCCGCAAGGAAGAGGCUAACCGCACAAGUAGCUGGAAUUUGAACAAAUCAGGGCAACCACGCAAGGAGCUAGAGAUCAAGCAACCACAUAAAACUGAAAAAAAUAAAAUUUGGGGGUAAAAAUCAAACCCUAACCUUGCAAUUUGGUGAAAUCAAAAAGAGAGGGAGGAUGGAUGAGAGCCAGAGAAAGAAGAGAGGCAGAAGCAAACUUCAGAUUCAACCAAUAUUGAAUAUAUCUUCAAUUUUAGCUUUUUGGAUUAUAAUAUUCCAAAAUUUCAUUUUGUUCCCUCUUAUCCAGAUUUAAAUAAUUCUUCAUUUGAACCUCUCUCCUCACUGUUGUUAAUGGAUCACUGGAAAACAGGAAAUAGGAAACAAGAAAACAAGAAAACAAUAUUGAGUUGGGCUAUUGAAGAUAUAUAAGUACUAAAUAUUUUUCCAAAACAUCACCCGGACUAAAGCCCACCCUAGCCCAUAUGUACCUCCGCCCCUGUUGGUGUGGAUUUCAUGGGCGGGAUGUUACUGUAUGUUGUGUGUGGUAGUUUGGUAUGUUUCCUACUUUUCCGGCUAUCCUCCGUUUGUUGCUCAGACUGUUUCCGACAACUUGAUGGGAUAAUUAAUUUCUUUUUAAAUAGAUGUCUGUUGUUAAACAAAUGUGCUCGGUCUACUCCUAUACGUUUAGGUGGACAAUAAAUAUUUUUCGAUCUCUCAUCAUUCUUAUGUUGGGUUGCUUUUUUUUUUCUUUCUUGUUGAGACUAAUUUAUCUGUUACUUUUUCCCCCCUGUUCGGCCUACUCCUAUACGUUCCUAUGCAUAUUAAGCUUGGAAGGGGAGAGGAUCGAGGGAGGAGCGAGGAGGGAGGAGGGAGGAGGGAGGAGGGAGUAUAUUAUUUGAUUAUAUUUACACUUCUUAUUAUGCAUGUGAUCUAUUUUUUUUAAAAAAAUAAAAAAGUUAAAAUAUAUUAAAACUAUAAUGUGUAACAAAUGACGAAAAAAUUAUAAUUGUAGAAAUAAUACGUACAAAUGAAUUACUUUCAAACGCAUAUCAAAUCAGGAAAAGAGUCAUUGUAAUAACAUUUAAUGGGCAUAAUAAAUAUUUGAAACAAAGUCAAGCUCUAAAAAUAAAAAUAAUAAUAACAACAAUAAAAUAGAGCAGUUCUUUGACAUGAGGAAACGAAAUAACAAACCAUGCGAUAACCUUACACCAUAAUUAAUCUAAGAGAUUUAUAGUUGACAAUCAGCUUAUAAAUUAAUAGUAAAUAGUUUUCACAACCAAGAAAAAAAUCUCCAAAGGGAUGUAGCGAAGGAAAUUUUAUGAAGGAAUUUAUUCUUUCACAUGAGGAGUUGUUUAGAGGAAAAAAGUAUAGUGAUAAUAUAGUUAUUAGCGAAAGAAACAUCCUUCACAAUUUAUAUUUUUUUCCACGCAAAAUUGGAGCGAUAGAAAGAUUUUUGGAGUCAAUUUAUGAUGCAAAUUUGCGAGGAAAAAAAUCUAUUAGUGAAUGAAUUAUUACUCACUAUAUAUUAUUGAUCAUAGUUUUUUUGCGAGAGAUAACAUCGGUCGCUGUUUUGUUCUAAUUUAAUUCAAUGAAGUAGAUUUAUCUCAAUUCUUCUUAACUUAAUCUAAAACUCUUAUUUCAUCUCACACAAACAGAAAUCUCCCCCAAAUCAAACCCCUACCCCUCCCUCUGCAUCAACUCUCUUCACAAACCCACAUUCCAGUCGGACAUCCUAUUGAGAUUAGAGCCCCAUUGCAGUAUUCAAUUUCUCUCUCAUCAAUGGCGUCCUUAACCCCAGGAAAGAUAAAACAAGAGAUUGAUAAAACAAGGAAAGAAGUCAUCAUCUCAAGCUAUGUUUGUUUACAAGUAUAUUACAUUUGAGAUUGAAUUAUUAAUCACAAGUCUUUGGUUUGUUUUUAAAAAUAGACUUGGAACUAUUAGUCCCGGAUAAUAAAAUAACUUUGAAAGGUGGAUUAUUUAAUAUCAUGUCAAACUAAGUGUUAUAAUUCCUACCAUUUAGCUGAUAAUUGUAUUAACUAAAAUUAAAUAAAUUCAUAUUAAUUUAAAAUUUAAUGUACCGUCGUUUUUUCUCAAAAGUUAAAUUGUAUCUUUAAUUUUAGAACUGAGGAAGUAUAUAAGAGUAUGAGGAUAUAAGAGUGAAUAAAGAAUAAUCACAUGAAACUGUUUGUAGCCUAAAUGAAGAAGAGCAUAUGUGAGUUUUUCAAAUCAUUUUUGAGAAGCUUAUUUAAUUUCAAACGUACUUGAAAAACUUAUUCGUUUAAAUAUAAUUUAUUUUAAUUACAAUUUAUUUAAUUCAAAAAUAUCAGCUUAAAAACCCUUAACUGGUCGUACCAUUUUUGAUUAUAAGGCUUAUAAGUUGUUUAAACUUAACGCACGGUUUCAAUGAACAAGUCUACAUCGCACCAUUUGGUUUGGCCGGUUGACAAGUCUACAUCGUAAAUCUAGUCAAACCCAAAUAAUUCUUCUUCUGCAUGUGAUUCACAUGCAUCUUCUCUAGCUAAACCUUAAUCGAACGUUUCUUUUUAUAUAUGUGGCUCACAUGCAUGCAGCUUCUCUGGCUUUCUCAUACGCAUGUUUUUCACAUUCAAACCCAACUUUAAAAACUGUUUAUAUAUAGCAUCACAUAAUACUACAUUACCCAAACUCACUAAGCUAAGCACUACCAUAUCUAAUAUUGUCCUGAAUUUCCAGUCUCACUAGUUAGUUGAUAUCUUAUCCAUAUAUAUAUUACAUGACACAACCAACAUCUACUUUAGUUUUCACGGUUAAAAGGCGUGAACCAGAGCUAAUAACUCCGGCAAAGCCGACGCCUCACGAAUACAAACUCCUCUCCGAUAUAGAUGACCAAGAGGGUCUCCGUUUCUAAGUCCCAGUCAUCCAUUUUUAUCGCAGUCAAAGUCAUCAAUACAUGGACCCAGUGAAAGUCAUUAGGGAGGCAUUGGCGCAGACUCUUGUAUUUUACUACCCGUUCGCUGGACGGAUCCGAGAAAUUGCCGGCCGGAAACUGGUGGUGGAGUGCACAGGGGAGGGGGUGAUGUUCAUUGAAGCUGAUGCGGAUGUUAGGCUUGAGGAUUUUGGUGAUGCGCUUCACCCUCCGUUUCCAUGCUUGGAAGAGCUCCUUUUUGAUGUUCCUGGCUCCGGUGGGGUGCUUAACUGCCCUUUGCUUCUUAUUCAGGUACUAUUUUUACUUUUAUUUUAUUUCUAUAAUUUUUUUUGGAGUGCAAUAUAAUAAGCUCCACCCUAGGUUAUUCACUUCAUAAUUUUUAGAAUUUAUUAAAAAAAAUCUUUUGGUUGCGUUGAGAUUUGACCUUUAAAUUGUCCAAAAAUUUUUCAUAGUUUAAGAAUAUCUGUUUGAGUCAGACGUGUGGUUCUAAUUAUAUUAGAACCCUAUCUGUAUAAACAAAUAGAGGUUUGGUUGUAUCGUGUAAAAAUUUGUAGGUGGUAUGCUGAUAAACUGCACGUAAUUUCUUACUCAAUUUUCUAAAAUUUGACAGGUCACUCGACUUGCAUGUGGUGGUUUUGUAUUUGCUUUACGCCUUAAUCACAGUAUCACACUAUGAGCGAUGCGGUUGGAAUUAUGCAAUUUAUGAGCGCAUUAGCCCAAAUAGCACAAGGUGCACAUGUCCCAUCUGUUCCUCCUGUUUGGCAAAGAGAACUCCUCAAUGCUAGAGGCUCACAACACCUUACAUGCAUCCAUCACGAGUAUGAUGAAGGGACUAAUAAUAAUAAAGGGACCAUAAUCCCCCAUGAUGAUAUGGUCCAACGUUCAUUCUUUUUCGGCUCCACCGAAAUUCGUGCCCUUCGAAAUUCGUUCCUCCUCAUCUUCGCGAGUGCUCUACAAUUGAAGUCCUCACCGCUUGUCUAUGGAGAUGUCGCACUCGUGCUUUACAACCAGACCCUACGGAGGAGGUACGCGUGCUUUGCGUCGUUAAUGCGCGCAAGAAAUUUAAUCCUCCUCUCCCCGUGGGAUACUAUGGGAACGUAUUUGCGUUCCCAGCAGCUCUUACAACAGCAGGAAAGCUUUGUCAGAACUCAAUGAGAUAUGCACUGGAACUUGUUAGGAAAAUUAAGAAAAAUGUUACCCAAGAGUAUAUGAAAUCGGUUGCAGAGCUAAUGGUUAUGAAAGGACGACCUCCUUUCCUGAGCGUCGGAACCUUUAUAGUGUCGGAAGUGACACGUGCCGGAUUUGAGGAUGUGAAUUUUGGGUGGGGGAAAGCAGUUUAUGCCGCCCUAGCUAAGGGUGGAGUAGGUGACACUACCGGAGUGAUUAGCUUUUACAUAUGUUCGAAGAAGAAAAAUGUUGAGAAUGAGAUUGUGGUGCCUAUUUGUUUGCCGGCUCUUGUCAUGGAUAGAUUUGUGAUGGAGGUUGAUAGCAUGUUGAAGGACUAUGAUACAUCGGUCAACAAUAAUACUCCUCCUUAUAUGUUGUCACCCCUAUAGAUAAUGGACAAGCAUCCUCCUCAUUUCAAAUAAACGAAGACUCCAUUUCAUGAUUUCUCUCAUCAACAUGAUAUCACACACCAACACAUUUUAAAUCUGAAUCAUAAAAUAAAUAAUUUAUUUUAUUUAAAAUGAUGAGGAUCCUAGUACAUAAAUAAUUGUCGCCCCACUUUAUAGUGAUGGAGGUUGAUAGCAUGUUGAAGGACUAUGAUCUAUCGGUCAACAAUAAUAGUCCUCCUUAUAUGUUUGUCACCCUUAUAAAUAAUGGACAAGCAUCCAACAUCCUCCUCAUUUCAAAUAAAUAAAGACUCUUCAUUUCAUAAUUUCUCUCAUCAGUAUUAUGUCACAUUCCAACACAUUUUAAAUUUGCACCAUGAAAUGGAGAGUUCACUUAUAUGAAAUGGAGAUAAUCCUAGUGCAUAUAUAAAUAAUUGUAGCCCCACUUUAUAGUGAUCGAAUUACAAGUGAUAUUUUGGGAAGGAUUACUCCUGUCCCAUAAUAAUAUGAAAGGUUUUAUCUUUUUAUUAUUAUUAUUAUUUAUUAGACAGUAAACAUCUUUGAGCAUCAGACCAUUCCAUUAGGGAUCGUAAUAUGAGUACGUACUGUGUGAAGUGUUUAUGUUUUUCUUAGUUAAUACAUAAAUAUAUAGUUAUGGUUUCAAAAAAAGUGUUGGAUACUUCAACAAAAUACAAUUUGAAUCUAUAUUCACAUUUUAUGCAGGCACCAUAUGUUACAUGGCAAAUUGUUAUGUUCAUGUAUUAAAGGUCCAAAUUUAGGAUUGUUUAUUGUUUUCUAUUAGCCCGUUAUGCAAUGUUUGUAACUUGUACACAAACAACACGCACAUAUAUAAGAUUUAUUUUGACUUUUUUGAAAUUAAUUUAGAAUAUUUUUAAAUUAAAUAUUAAUACACAAAUUUAUAAUAUUAAUUGACAUAAUUAUGAAUAUUGUAAAUUAUUUUAAAAUACUACUAAUUUAAAGAUAAAAAUUAUUGUUUUUAAAACUUAAAAAAUAAUUUACCGUAUUUCUUGAUUUGAACUUAAUUUGCAGUUAGUUUAAAAUAAAGAUAUUCCUUCAAAAUAAUUAGGGAGUAAAAUAUAUAAUCCCCAAUCGAAGUAAAAUUGUAUACUAGAACAUGCUAUAAUAUUCCAAAAUUUAAAUUAUUCUUGUCCAUAAAUAAUUUGUGAUAUAUGGUCCAUACCAUACCAUACCAGAAAUCUAUGUAGAAGGGAAUAUAUAGUGCCAUUAAUUCUGAAUUAUUGAAAUUAUUCUCCAUAAGAGAAGCUAGGAUAAGUGGAAUCCUACUCAAUACACUAUUCCAACGGCUUCCUCCGUGUUAUCGAAUCAUUCCCAACCGCAAAAACAAAGUUCUAAAAAUAAAUUAUAAGUACUAUAAAACAAGAAGAGUUCUCUUGAAAAAAUUUCAAUCAAAUUAUAAUUACGACCGUAUAUUCAUACAUAAGACAUUUAAAAAUUAAAAAUGAUCCUAUGCUAGUUUUUAUAUCUUAUUUAGUCGCAAUCCACCGUGACCAUAUAUAUAUUCAUAAACUUAAUUAUAUAUCAUUUUUUUUAAAUAAAAAUUAAAAGUAUGUGUUCCACACUUCCACAUCCACUACUAGAAGAAAACAUAUGCAGAGGAGGAUUAAUUAAUUAAAUUUGAGUUUGUUGUUUGCCUUAUCUCUUCCCCCACAAAACUUUUUAGAGCAGAAGGAAAAGUGAAAUUAAGUUCUACGAGUGAAGCUUCCACUUUCGUAUCAAGUCCAAAUUAUUUUGUUCAUAAUAUAAGAAAUUUUUUAUAAAAAAUUGGUUAAAAAUUGUAAGCGUGGUUUUCCGGUUAGUCAUACUUAGAGUCCGUAAUUUAAUACUGCGGACAGGGAUUUAUAUAAUGAGGAAUACUUUGGACAUAUGUUCCGUCCGCAGUAUUAAAUUGCAGUAUACUGGAUAUUAAACUGCGGACAGAAACUCUAUUUAACCGUUCAAUCAAUAGAUGGACAGUCACAAUGUAUUGUAAGAAUAACUUUAAAUUUACAAUGUUAACUAUGAAUCAGUCCCAUAUAUAUAUUUGCAUCGGUACUGGAAGCGCUCUAUUUUUGUGAUGAGUUUUCUCUCAAUUACUACUUUUAUAUAUUAUAUAGAUGAGAUUAGUUAUAUUAUUAUUUUGUUUUUUUUACACAAUUUUUUUUUAAUUUUUCUAUUUAAUCCUUCAAAUUUUAACAUAAUUGGUAAACGCUACGCAUGUGUCAAGCACUUAGUACUCAUAAAUCACAGUAAUCAAAUUCUUUUUAGUACUAGCCUUAUGUAAUAAAAUUGACAUUACAUGAAAAAUAAAAAUUCGGUUAGGGUCUCAAGUUUCAUACAAACGAUAAAGAUUUAAAAUUUGUGUAGACAGAAAAAGAAAAUGAAAUCUUGACUGCUAGAGUAAGGUACAACCUUCAAAUAUUUUAACAUUAUUACUUAUUUUGAAUUUAACAUUAUUAGCUAUGCUUGAGGGUAUUGAUCGAGAGCAUUAGUUUAAAUGGAAACGUAGAAACAUGGGAUUUUCCCAAGUUGGCCUAUAAUAGAGAGCAGCAUGUCCUGUGACCAAACACUAUCUUAAAAAAAAAAUGAUAUAUGUUGAUAAAUAUUUAAUAAAAUAAGAUUAUGAAUAAUGUAAAAGUAUAUGCGAUAAGAUAUAAUAAUAAAUUAAAAUAAGACUCUUUUUAUUUUCUAUAUGAUUAUAUGUCUCAUAUAUAUAGGCACAUCAAUCGUAAUCAUAAUUCGGCUAAAUUUUUUUACAAUAUAUAACAUGACUUCAGUAAUAAUUUAUUUAUCUUGUUGAAAAAAAGAGUUUAAAAAAGGAGUAUGUGAGACCAACGUUCCAUGCUGUUAGAUUCUAGAGAGAGAAUAUAAGUAUUAAAAGAAGUGUCUGCGUUGACUAAUUGGUCCCUCUGGAGACCAAAGCCAUGGAGGAAAUUAAUCAGGGAAUCAUUUGAAAAAUCAAAGUUUACAAUGAAGAGGCAAAAAAUAUAUAAAAAGUCUAGGAAAACCCUAACAACUUUGUUUUUUUACAUGUAUUCAAAUUACGUUUAAAUUAUUGAAUUUUAUAAAAAUUUCAAUUUCAGUAAAUAUUAUAAAUUAUUUGAGUCAAAAAAAAAUUAGCUGGUCGCUAGACCGGUUGGCGAAUCUCAGUCCCCCCAGAAGGAUUGAUAAAUAUAAGGUAAUUGUUAAAUUCACAAUAUUUUUUUGUUAUUUUCACAAUAAAAGUAUCGUUGUAGAUGUAUAACGACGGUGAAAACUGUCGCUAUAGGAUCUAUAGCAACACUUUUGUUGUAGAAAUAACAAUUUCCCUAAAUAUAAUACUAUUACUCUCUUUCCUCUCUUUUUUUUCUUUCUAAUUAAUACUCUCCUUUUUAAAAUAUUUGAGAAGUUUUGUUUUAAAAUAAAUUAUCAAACUAUUUUUUAAAGUAUAAAUAUAUAAGUAAGUGAUUCCUUUUUUAAGAAUAUUAUUUAUAUCUAAGAUUAUAUAUUUUAAUAUGAUGAUUUAAUAUUUUGAAAUACUCUUAACUAGUAAGGUGGGAAAAAGCUUUUAAUAUAUCAUGGACCCCUGCCCCCAACCCCCCAACCCUACAGAUAUAAUUAAAUAAAACAAAAAAAAUUUUUAAAAAGAGAAGAAGAAAGAAAAAAAAACACCUGAGUCCAUUAUUNNNNNNNNNNNNNNNNNNNNNNNNNNNNNNNNNNNNNNNNNNNNNNNNNNNNNNNNNNNNNNNNNNNNNNNNNNNNNNNNNNNNNNNNNNNNNNNNNNNNCCACCAACUGUGCAACCACAUUUACAUCAAUCUCAAGCCAUGGCCAGUUCGAUUGAAUCUGUGUUGCCUCCUUCCGUCGCUUAUCAGCAGCCUCAACAUGUGCAAAUGAAUUGGAGCAGUCAAUUAUUUAGUAGAGAAAAUAUCCGCUGACAAAGAAUACCCGUAGACAAGGGGGUAUUAUUAUUCAAGUUUGGAAACAGACAAGUUUUUUGGGGAACGUGAAUGUCGACCUUAAUGUCGGUGUAUAUACGAGAAACAGUUGGACCAUGAAUUUCAAAAAUUUGGGUGUGGGUGUGGGUGUGGGUGGGGUUAAGGGGUGAGGGGUGUGGGUCUUCUUUCUAUAGUAGCAGUAGAGAUGUACAAAAGGCCUGAGGUCUGCGGUCUGGCCUUGGUCCGGCCUGGUCAAAUUUCGACCCGAUCAAGGCCUGACCUGGAAGACUUGAAAAGACCACUUUUUUUAGAUAAAAAUCUGGCCUGGCCUGGCCUGCAAAAAGGCCUGGCCUAGCCUGGCCUUGGGCCUGAACUGGCCUGGCCUUGGGUCUGGCCUGAGGUCUGGCCUGGCCUGGCAAGGCCUAGCCUGACCUGAGACCUUACAUGAUUUUUAUCCAAUUAUUUAUAAUUUUUAAACUUUAAAUUUAUAAUUAUUCAUCAAUAAAGUAUAAAAUUUUACUUAUUCAUUGUUGUAAUUUAUAUAUUAUAGUACAUUAGUUUUAAUUAAUACAUCAAUAAAAUUUAAAAUUUUAAUUAUUCAUUCUUGAUUUCUUAUUGAUACAUUUAAUUAAUAUACAUCUUCAAUGAAUAUAACUAGUUAGUAUAUUUAAUAUUAAUGAUAAGUUAGUUACAUAGUUGAUUAAAUAUUAAUACGAUGUGCAUAGUAUAAUUAGACAUAUAUUUAAGAAAUCAAUUUAUUUUAUAUUCCAGUUACAUCUAAAUUAUUAUUUUUUUUGUAAUUUAGGAUGAAUAUAUUUAUUUUUGUUCUAAUCAUUCAACUUAUAUUGGUAUGUAGUAGAAUGUUAAAAUAAAAUAAAUCUCAAAAAUCUUGCAUAAUUUUUACAAAAUUUAUUAAUUUAUAUUUUAUUAUUUAUAUUUUUAAUAUUUAAUACGUAACAUUAAAAAAAAAGACCAAUCAGCCAAGACAUUGGGCUUGGCCUGGCCUUGGGUCUGACCUGGCCUGGCCUGCAGGCCUAGCCAGGCCACAAUCCAACGACCAAGGUCUGGAGACCAAAAGUCAACGGUCUGAUCUGACUUGAUGAAAGCUCAAGAUCUGAUAAGUUCAGACCAAAUCAGAUCAGGCCGAUCUAUUGUGCAUCCCUAAGUAACAGCAGCAGUAGUUAUGGCGUUGGCGUUUGGAGGUGGGGUAAUGGUAAAAUAAAAGGUUCAAAAGGCUGAAAUUUUGGUUGGUUACUACGUGGCUGUUUCUUAGUUAGUAAGGAAGGAGAUUGGUAUCCAAUCAAAACCCUACAUUUGGUUGCAAGUUUGCCACGUAAAUUAAACACACCCUAAACUGAAUUUCUUAUAGUCCCAUGCAUGCAUGCAUAUGAAAACUAUAUGAAAACUAGAUAUGUAUUGUGGGUGUAAAUUAUGUAAAAUAAAAUAAUAAUUUUAAAAAAUUUUGAAGAUUAAAAAGAAAGAUAAAACAAUUAAUAUUAAAAACCAAUACAAUUGUAGUAUAAUGAAAUUUGUAAGAACUCAUUCAAAAAAAAAGCGACACAAAAUCACCACUUACGUACGUCAACGGCUCUCCGAAGCUGCUUUAUAAGAGAUUUGCAACCGUCUCGUGCCUCUGGCACUAUAAAUUUUUGACGGUUCAAAUAAUUUAUUAACAUGAACAAAAAAUUUAAAAUCAUUUGUAUUUUAUUAGAUAGAUUGAUCUAGUAAUCAAUUUACGAAAAAUGAUACUCCAUAUUUUACGAAUCUUUACGUCUAUUUUUUAAUUACAAAUUAACGUGAUUAAGUAUUAAUGAUAAUCUCUUUAAAUAGUUGUAAGAACAUUCGUAACAGUUUUUCCAAUAAAUUUUCUAUUCCCAAUUUUGAAUAAUAUAUAUCAACAAAUAAUUAUUCAACAUUUUCUUAGCAUUAUCCUUAUUUAACUCUCUAUUUUAAUCUCUAUAUAGGAUUUUACUCCUCAUGACGAGGGAGUCAAAAGACCGUUCUCUAUAUAUGCAAAAAAUAACAUUUCACACUCUUAUUUAAGUGGACAACUCAUCAAUCGUUAUCCAACUCAUCUUCAUUUUCAAAUUAUAAAAUAAUAUUGACUUAUUUAAAAAAAAUUAAUUUCAAAUGUAUUCAAAUUUAAAAUUGGUAUAAAUUUAUUUAAUUCAUGUCAAUAUAAUUAUAAAUAUUAUAAAAUUACUAUUAAUUAUAAAAUUUAUUAUUUUCAAAAUUUAAAUGAAUCAUAUUAAAUUUAAAUUUAAAAAUAUCAAAAAUUAACUUUUUAAAAGUUAAUAUUGAUCUUAUGUACAUUUGCAGCUACAAUCCAUUCAAUACUCACUCCAUAAAUUACUUCAAAUUUAAAAUAUAAAAAAAGUUAUUUUACAGUGGAAUACAAUUGAUAAAUUAUACUCUCUUUUAUAAAUUAUAAUAUUAUUAUUAUUUUUUAUAAGUCAAUUUGACGCAUUCUCAAACUUAAUAAUUUUGCUAAAAAUUGUAAAAAUAAUAAAUUUUAUUAGUAGUAUAAAUAAGUUACAAUAUGUAUUGAUUAAAUUUAUAUUGAUUUUAAAUUUAAAAAUAUUACAUGCUUACUUCAAAAAAGAUUAAAUUUUAUAUAUUUAAUAUAUUUUAAAAUUAUAAUUUUAAUAUAAAUUUAUCAUAAUAUAUAACAGAACUCUACUACUAUACUAUAUGCUUAUUAUAAUUGCAAAUCUACAUGACACCUAAUGCUAUUAAUUAGAGGUAACUAAUCACUAAUUAAUGUGCACAUUUGUAGAUUGUGAUAUAAAUAUUUUGAAGUAAAGAAGUACAUGAGUGACACGGGCAUUCAGGCUAGUAGUAUAAUUUAUGAGAUAAAGGAUUUGCACACCUUAAAGGGCAAUGACGAAAGUUCCAUCAUCACUAUUCACUAGUAGUGAAAAUAAAAUAAAAAACAAUUUCCCCCCAUUAAUCUCAUAAGAAGGGAUUUGGCUAUCUUUUAUUAUAUUUUUUUCUCUAAUUUUAUUUGAUUCACCACUUUUUUUUAUCUCAACAAUUUGUUAGUAAUGAUCCCACUAUAUUAACAAGUGCCAUACUUUCUUUCUUUUUUGUUAAUUCAAAAAUAAGAUUUCAUUUCUAUACACCAAUACUUGAAAGUGUAAGUAUAACAAUUUCAAAGAAUUAAUACACCAUAAAGUUAAUUGAAAAUAAAAUAAAAUAAAAAGUAAGAAACAGAGUUUGAGAGAGAUGGGGAGAAAGAAAUACAACUGAUAUUUUUAUAUUAAAAAUUAAUAUUUUUAUAUGAUUUCUUUCAUCUAAAAAUUACAUUUUAACAUGUAAAAAAAUAUUAAUUUUCAAAAUAAACUAUGUUUCCCGGCCUAUAAAUAGAACACCAACCUCCGAACUCUUGCCAUUCCAAACAAAUCCCAAAAGAAAAAAGAAUAGAAAAUUAAAACCCCAGUCUCUAUAUAUAUUCUCUCUUGUUUCAUCCCCUCCUAUUUCUCUCUCUCCUCACUAUGAUCACUCUGAACUUUCUCUUCCCUGUGCUUCCCGACAAACUCUUGAUCAUAAACCAAUUCUCUGUUGAGUGAAAUCCCCCCACCCCCCCAAAUCCCAAAUAAAAUCCUCAAAUUUCCAUUCAAUUUUUGGAAAGAAAUGGAUGUUUUCGAUAUCAAAGUCGAAAAGGCCAAGGCAAUCUUGAAGUACAGAAGACUUCAAAAGAUCACAGCUUUGUUUAGGUUCAUGGAGGUUUGCAUCUUCCUCUUCGUAAUCUCAAGCAUUUCAACUCAAUUCCCAUUCUCUUUCAAACUGCCCGGUGAUUUUUUCCGCGGUAUCUCCAUCACAAUCUUUAGCCCUGGCUUCAUUUUCAUUCUUGGAAACGCGAUUGUCCUCGUUCUUUUCUUGAAAUACGGCCAGUUUUCAGCUCAAGAAAACAGAAAUCAUAACAACAGCGUUGAUUUUUCCAAUGGGUAUGUUCAAAGUUGGGAAAAGAAAAUGAAAAUCAAUCACACAAAGGAAAUCAAGAAACGGGGGAAACAGAGUAUGUAUGAGGAGAUAAAAUCUCUUUCUGAUUUGGGUAUUUUUGAGGAUCCUAAUUUGGGUAUUUUUGAGGAUAGGAAGAUGCAUAAGAGUCACUCUGAAGAUUUUAAGAGAUAUCAACAUGAAGAUUCUCACCGGAAACUUAGGCGGAGCAUGACAGAAAGAUGCCGUGAAAAAGUGUAUUCUUAUGCAGAAGAUGAAAUGAGUGGCGACGAGUUCCGGCGUACAGUUGAGGCUUUCAUUGCCCGGCAGCAGAGAUCUUUGAGGGAAGAAGAAGAUUUCUCAGCUAUUGUAACUUUUGAGCAUAAUUAGAUUAUGAAAAGAAAGAGACAGAGAGAUUGAGAGAAAAAUGUGCCCCGUUUUCUUGUUCUCUAAACUAUAUGUUAAUUCUGAUUAGAUGGGUAGUGUACAAGAUAAUUAUGAUCUUCUUUUUAUGCCAUGGAUAUUGUAUAGUUCCAAAGUAAUGAAAUCCAUUGCAAUUUUCUUGCAUACUUUGUUUUUUAUAUUUUUUUAUUUUCACACACCAUUAAUUUCUUCAAAGUCGCAUGCUAAAAAAAUAAAAAAUAAAAAUCUUAGAUUUUCUUCUUCUUCUUCUUCUCUUCCCUAUUUUUUUGUUUUUUCGGAAAUGGACAAUAAUUCAGUAUUGUAUUAGAUUCCGAAUACAAGUUGAUAAUCAAAAUAUACCUAGAAUAAACUUUAUCUAUAGAUAGAGAUAGAGAUAGAGAUGGCUAGUCAUUUCUUGAAAACAGAGAGCAUAUGAAACAGAGGAAAUCUUUAGAGAUGUUUGACAAUGUGUUUGAUAAAAGUAAAGGGAAGUGUGGCACGGCAUGGCAUAAUGGGAAGAAUAGUAAUAUUCUUAAUUAAUUCUUGGUAUAAAAAGAUUAAUGGGCAUGAUGCAAAUUGCCAAUUGAGUAUUCGAAUUUUCAAACAUUCUGAUUUGAGACUGUAAGGGAACUCCAACAAAGCGGUUUAAUUAUAUGCCAAAUGAGUCAUUCCUUCCACAGCAGAGGCCUCUAGAAUCAAGAAAAAGCAUCUUUUAUCUUUUAUUUUAAUUUCUUAAAACUGAUUAUCUGUAGCUAAGAAGAGAAUCAUAAUCUUACUUAUUUUAUUGUGAACCUAUUUUAUUACAAUUUAAUUUUAGUAAAACACGAUUUAUUUUAGGGUAUGGGAGUAACCUGAAGAGAACUAAGGGUUAAUUUACUCUCUUUUUUUUAUGUAGCGUCUUGGUUAAUUCUGACUUAUGUGAAAUCAUAAUCUUAAUUAGACUCUUUCUAAAGCUAAUUGCAUGGUGGGUUGCUGUAUUUCUCAACAACACAACCAUAAUUAUUAAUAUCCUCCCAUGUCCCACACUUCUUUCAUCAUUAUUCAACCACUAAUACUUUUUCUUUUACUUUUCUCCCAUGUUUUCAGUUAAAAAAGUAUCAUAUGAUAGUGUUUCCAGCAUAACUCAAAGAUCCUAAGUUCUAGAUUCGGUGAAUAUGCCUCAAGUUAAGUCCCAUUAGGAAUAACUUAUUAAAAUUGAUAUAUAGCAAUUAAAUAAAAUAAUAGGAUUUUGUUUCAUCUUUUGAGUUGAUAGCUUUGACUUCAAAUAAAAAUGAUUCAAAUAUAAAUAAAAUUUAAAAUUUGAUAAAUUACUCGAACCUCCUCAAAUUAUAAUUUUCGAUUGAUAUUCGGAUCAUAUUCGUUCAAAAAAUUCUGGCUGCUAAAUCGUGUUCGACUCAGUAGCUAAAUAAACCUUAAUCAAAUCUUAUUUUAUACUCGAUAAAUUUUGUGAACCAAACUCAACUCGAUUUAUUUACACCCUUAAAAUGUCAAAACUGAACACAUGUUUAACUAACGAGAAUUGGUAUUUUCAUAAGUAAAUUUGAUAGUUUCACAAGUUCUACCUCACCUCACAUAAAUAAUAAAUGAGAGAAACUUAUGAAAUUAUCAAAUUUAAUUGCAAAAAUAUCAAUUUUCUAACCAAAUGGUUGGCAAAAGUUUUUUUCAAUUCCAAUAUUUAAAUUACCUAGCUAGCUAGUAGCUAUAUAUAUCAAAGUGUUUAAUUCUCACUUGAAACGAGGAAAUGGUGAUAGGGAGGAGAGAGAGAAGGGUGAAAGAUGAAGUGGCGUGGAAGUGAAAAAUGAUUGGGAAGAAAGAGAAAGGGGAUAAAAGAUUUUUAUUUUGCAUUUAAUUUUUUAUAUAAUUUAUUUAUUAAUACAGUCAAAUCAUAUUUUAGAUACUCAAAACGUAUUUUUGGGUGGUCUUCCCGUGCACGUGACUAUUUCUGACUAAAAUCUGAUCGGAAUAUCUAAAAUGGUUUAUAUCGUUUACUUAAACGUAUUUUAGUAUUUUAGGGUCUAUAUCGGGAGAAUUUGUACUAGGGGUCCAAUUUUAAAACAGGAAAACUUGGAGGGUCUAGUGCAAUUAACCCUUACUAUUAUUAUUUCUUUUUGCUAAUUUACUUUAUAUUCUGUUAUUUAACUAGAAUUCAGGUCCAUCAAAUAUAUUUUUGCCAUCUAAAAGGCAAAAAUAGGUGUAUUUUUAUAAAUAAAUAAAGUGAAUGGUUAAGGCUUAUUGUUGUGAUCUUUUGGUUUAUAUAUUUUAAAAUGAAAAUUAUUAAAUCCACAACAGAAAAUAUUAUUUUCACAAUAAAAGUAUCGUUAUAGAUCUUAUAACAACGGUUUUCACCGUCACUAUACAUCUACAGCGACACUUUUGUUAUAGAAAUAACAAAAAAUAUUGUGAAUUUAACAAUUCCCUAUUUUAAUUGUUAUUGUUGGGUCAUGAUAUUUCUUCUAUUUGGGCCGGGUAGAUUGGGCUCAUUUAUUAAUUUAAUCCAUUGGGCUUUUAUAAUUAAGCCAUGGGGUUCGUUGGGCCCAGCCACUGUGUUAGCUUUAUUUAAUCCUAUAGGACCGGGUCGGUUCAUUGGAUUGACCCAUUGGGUCACUUAAUAUCUAUUACUUUGACUUGUAAUGAUGAUAUAGUAUGACAGUUGACCAAGAUAUUUGUCAUGCAUUAAUGUGGAUGGGAUUAUAGUCGGCCGGCGGUGUGAACAGUGGCAAAAAGCAGUGGAUAAGCUCCAUGCAGUCGGCAGAACCCACCAAAUCAGGGGGAUAUGUCAGAUGGUAGUGGGUGGCACAGUAAUCCAGGCAAAGAUAUUAUUUCUUGACGAGUAAGUCUUCACAAGGAGGUACAUUUCUUGAUAUAUACACAUGAAGACUCCUCAGUCAUUUAAAGAUGUUCAACGUCUGACUGGAAGGAUUGCAGCUUUGCGGAGGUUCAUGUCCAAGUCAGCAGAAAUAUGUUUACCGUUUUUUGACACAUUGAAAGGGCCGAAGAAUGCAAAGACCUUUCAAUGGACUUCGGAGUGUGAAGACGCCUUUCAAAGCAUCAAGUCCUAUCUAUCUUCGGCUCCUUUGUUGGUAAAGACCAUUCCUGCCGAGCCUCUAUAUUUAUACCUAGCAGCUAGCUCGUCGGCGGUAGGAGCAGUUUUGGUGCGUGAAGUUGGGGAUAAGCAGCACCCGGUUUAUUAUGUAAGCCAUGUCCUUCGGGAUGCUGAAACAAGGUACCCAAACAUUGAAAAGUUUGUUUUUACUUUAAUAACUGCUAGUCGAAAGCUUAGGCAAUACUUCCAGGGUAGAUUGGUAAUAGUGUACACAGAUCAGCCUUUAAAGAAGAUUAUGGGAAAACCAGAGGUAUCGGGGAGACUAGCUGCAUGGACGAUGGAGUUGUCCCAAUUCUUUAUUGAGUAUCAUCCCCGAACCGCCAUCAAAGGGCAAGCCUUGGCUGAUUUUGUGGUUGAGUGUUCGUUUUCUGAAGCUGAUGAAGUCGUGGUCGAGGCUGAAGGAUCUGACAGAGCAGUUGCCGUUCUUCAGCAGAAGGAGAGUUCAUGGACGCUGUAUGCAGAUGGGUCUUCUACUUCGGACGUCAGUGGAGCAGGGAUUAUCUUGACGAGUCCGGAGGGAUUCAAGGUGCAGCAGGCCAUCAGAUUUCAGUUCAAAGCGACGAACAACGAAGCUGAGUAUGAGGCAGUAUUGGCCGGUUUACGAUUAGCGAAGAGUCUUGAAGUGCAGAGAAUAGUCAUCUUCAGUGAUUCUCAGUUAGUCGUUAAACAUUUCUCUGGGGAUUAUGAAGCUCGAGGUCCGAGAAUGAUCAAGUAUUUAGCAAAAUUGAAGGAACGGCUUCAGUAUUUCCAAUCCUACGAGUUUCAGGGGGUCGAGCGUAACAACAAUUCUAUUGUUGAUGCACUUGCCAGACUAGCUACUACGGAUGUUAAUGUUUUUGAAGGAUCGGUGUACCUGGAAAUUUUGCAAUAUCCUAGUGUUCAUCAUGAAGUGGUAAUGUGCAUUGACCGAACCAACUGCUGGUUGACUCCCUACCUGGAAUAUUUGGCAGAUGGCGUCUUACCUUCGGAUCGGAUGCUUGCCAAGAAAAUCAAGUACAAGAGUGCUAACUUUGUUCUGAUUGAUGGGGAUCUUUUCCGAAGGGCCUUCUCAUCUCCAUUAUUGAAAUGUUUGACUCCAUCUGAAGCUGAAUAUGCUCUCCGAAAAGUGCAUGAAGGCAUUUGUGGCGACCAUAUGGCUGCUAAGUCAUUAGCCUAUAAAGUACUUCGUCAGGGGUACUACUGGCCUACUAUCUUCAAGGAAGCAACUGAGUAUGUCAAGAAGUGCGAGAAGUGCCAGCUCAACAGUCCAAUAUCUCAUCAGUCACCGGAAGAGCUAUACUCGAUCUUAUCUCCUAUACCCUUCGCUAUCUGGGGGGUUGAUAUACUGGGUCCACUACCGAAAGCAAAAGGUCAGGUCAGUUUUGUUAUAGUUGCCAUAGACUAUAUGACCAAAUGGGUAGAAGCAAAGCCACUUAGGUCAAUAACGGAACAGGAGUGUUUGAAAUUCGUGAAAGAAUCAGUGGUAUUCCGUUUUGGAAUUCCUAAGGUGGUAGUAUCGGAUAAUGGACGUCAGUUUGUGGGGUCGAAGUUUGAAGCAUUUUUGGUAGAAUUGGGGAUCCAGCACAGAAAGACUUCGGUGGCUCAUCCUCAGUCAAACGGACAGGUUAAAGUAACCAACAGAACGCUGCUGAAUGGGAUCAAGCGUAGGUUGGACGAAGCUAAAGGCAGAUGGCCGGAGGAGCUGCUAAGUGUGCUAUGGGCUUAUCGAACUACUCCAAGGACUACAACAGGGGAUUCACCUUUCAGAUUGGCCUAUGGUACUGAUGCCUUAAUCCUAGUUGAAAUUGGAUCUCCAAAUCUUCGAGUUAGUCAUUUCCGAGAGAUCUACAAUGAAGAAGGGCUGAAGACCAAUCUUGAUUUGUUAGAAGAAGUCAGAGAGAUGCCUUAAUCAAAUUGGCAGCCUAUCAGCGAAGAGUGGCUAAGCAUUAUAAUAAGGGGGUAAAGCUUCGCAGAUUUGAAGUAGGAGAUUUUGUCCUCAGAGAAGUCGAAGCAUCUACGCCUCAGAAUCUGGGAAAGUUGAUGCCAAAUUGGGAAGGACCAUAUGAAAUCACUGAAGUUCCGAAGCCGGGGACUUAUCGGUUAAAGGCAUUAGAUGACUCAGUAAUCAAAAACACUUGGCACACUGACAGGCUUAGAAAGUACUUUCAGUAGAUUCAAUGUUAGUACAUCGGAAGUCUGUAAAUAUUUACAUCAUCAUCAAUAAAAGUUCCUCUUUUCUCUCAAACAAAUUUUAUCUCUGUUGCUGCUCAGUUCAUUGGUGUUAGGAGGUUCGGGAGGACUUGCUGACCAUUCGAUGGUAGCCUCUUCGGCAGGUGGUCACUAUUUGGCAUUGUCAGGCCCUUCGGGGUAGGCAAUUGUCGCCACUAUUUGGCAUUGUCAGGCCCUUCGGGGUAGGCAAUUGUCGUCACUUAGACCUUGUCAGGCCCUUCGUGGUAGGCAAUGGUCGACACUUAAACUUCGUCAGGCCCUUCGUGGUAGGCGAAUGUUAUCUUUCGGUUGUUAGGCCUUUUGGGGUAAACAAACUCACGAUAAAGCAGAUCUGUCUCACACUUCGGUAACUGAAUGAGUAUCUCUUUACUUUAUUACCUGAAUUUUUUCUAAGUGUUGAGUUCGGAAUGCCUCGUUCUUUAAUUUCACUUUAUCUGUUAUAUGACAUGCUUAAUUGUUAAUUAACAAUUUGAGUUAAAUCCUUGAAGGGGUUUUUGUACAUUUGUCCCUAUAAAUUCAUAUUGAAGUAUUGGCAGGAAGUAAAAAUACACUGAAGUCAUAAGGGAGAAGAUCACUUUUCAUUAAUACUUAAUUUAUUUACAAAAAGGGAAAAUAACAGAAAAUUUUUACAAGUAUUUUUUAAAUAAAACCGAAGAGAAACAAAAGCUGUUGCUUCAGGCAGCACCCUCAUCAUCUGAAGAGUCGAGCAAGUAUGGAUCUAAGUUGGCUUUGAUCAGCUUUUCCUUGCCACGACUUCGGCAGAGCUCGUAGCUUUCCGUAUGAAUCCUCAUUAUUUCUCCAUUAAUUUCAUCCGAGUUCCGAUACUCUUCACAUAUCUCUUUGCGAAGAGCAUCAGUCAAAGGAGGCCCAAGGUCCCGAAGAGCCUUGAGUUCUCGGAUUUCUUGUUCGAGCUGCUGCCGUAUAUUCAUCUGACGGGUUUCUUCCCGCUCCAGCUUAUGGAUCGUCUUGGUCAAGAUCUUAGCGUUAGCCUUCAGCUCCUUGAUCUUGUUCAUCCUUAGUUCACUCCUCUGAACCAAGUCGACGUUCAUAUUAACGAUUUCAGCAUGCUGUGCUUUAGUCGACUUCAGUUCUUCCUUGGAGGCCUUCACAUCUUCCUUGGCUUGGGCCAACUCUUUCUGAAGUCCUUCAUUGGUAUGAAGGAUGCCUUCACGUUGGGUCCUUUCCCGAGCCAAGGCAGACUUCAGGAUGGAGUUCUCCUUCCUCAGCGCCUCCUCUUCGGAUUCAGCCUCGAGAGAUCUUGGACGUAGACGCCCGAAUACAGCAUUUGCCUGUGCAUGUUCAGUUUUAUUUGAUCAGUUUUCAGAUAUAUGAGUACGAAGAUAAGUAUGGAAAGCAAAGGGAGGGGAGAGCCAUUUACCUUCGCCAAGUAGCUCAUGCCUUCGCUAAGCAAGUCCCCAUUCGUACUGUUCCCGAAUCGGUGGUCAUCGGUCUCGCGAACGAAGGCCUCGAACAGUUGAAAGGGAAAGUUGGCGUUGAAUCGGGGCCACAUAGUUGGCGAGCCCAUGGCAUCCUGCUGAAAUUCGGUAGUCGUGUGUCUUGGAGGAGAAGGCACAGGUUGAUUGCGAACCGGCGAGGGAUCCGCAUAUACCGCCUCUGGGGAAGGAGAUCGAGCAGGUAUAGGCUCAGGAGUUGAAGAAGGGGCAGAGGUUGAAACUGGAUGGCUGUCCGAAGGUUGUUUUCUUUUUCGGGACAGUGAGGGGUCGGCUUCGACCAGCUCAGCAUCAGGCGUUUGGGUUUCGGUUGGGGGGUCAAUUGUUGAAGUUGGAGGGACGCGGAGUUCUUCGGCGGUGAGGGGAAUUAUUUUUGAUCUUAAUUUUUUGGCACGAAGGACUUUCGCUCGAUCGUGUAGAGGUAUGUCAAGUAGACUCCUCUUUAUUGGGGCUGAUUCAGAAGGUGUGGUGACAGGGUCAGUUGGAGGAGUUGAUUGUGGGUUUGCUUCGGGAAGAACCUCCUCGUCGCUUUCAGGAUCUAUCUCGCGAGGGGUAGUUCUGGCCUUUUUAGCAGCCUUCUUCCUUCGGCGAGGUCGGAGGACUUCUUCAGGAAUGAGAGGCUCGUCGGCUUCAGGCUCAUCAUUCCGAAGGGGCGUAGUUGUUGGGUCGGAGGCAGGAGGAUCAGUUCGGGAAGGCUCUUCGGUAGGAAGUUCUUCACUUGCCUCCAUAAUCCUCCCCGCCAGAAAAUCUACCAAAUCUUUCACUUCCGAAGAAGUUGGUUUGAUCAGGGAUACUGCAAAUAAUCACAUAUUAAAAUCCUUGCCACAUAAAUACCUCAAAAAUUAUAUUGCAGAGUUAUUCAAAACUUACAUUUAUGAUCAUACAGCCAGGCGUGUUUGGUCAGCAGGGUAAAACUCCAUUCUUGUGGAGGGAUCUUCUUCAGAAAAUCUCCUAUUUUCUUCACACGCUCUUCGGGAAUGUCACCAAAGUCAGCAGAGAUCCGGUCUAGGAUGGUCCAAUCUGGAAGAGAAGAGAUCUCUGGUCCAGUGAUGAAGAACCAUUUCUCGUGCCAGCCUUUGUUGCUCGAAGGGGUGCUCAUCAGGGGCCUCUUCUCGAAUUUAGAGUUUGGGCGUGGAGAUUGUUUGCUCAGCAUCUUAAACCCUCGUUCUCGGGAUCUACCGGCCGAGAAAAGGGUGAAGAAAAGGUCGACGGAGGGAGUAACCCCUAGCUCGUGGCAGAAGGCAAUGAAUGCCAGUAUGUGGAUAUAGGAGUUGGGCACCAGCUGAGCAAAGCCCACUCCUAUGAACCCUAGGAGGGUGACGACAAAGGCGUGAAGGGGUAGGCGAAUCCCCUUUUCCAGAAAAGUGGCAGGCAUGGCGACCCAGCCGUCUGGUCGCUGGUACAUUCGCUCCUCCGGAGCAGGAGCCCUUAUGGCGUAGUUGUCUGGAAUCUAGUAUCGAAUUCGGAGGGCACGUAUUUCAGAUUCUGUGACGGUGGAUGCAAUGUUCGCAUGAGGAAAUUGUUCCCCAUCCUUGAAGAAAUCAGUAGGAAAUGGUGGAUUUGAACUCGAACCCUCUUGGUUAGGGUUUGAAUGAGAGGAACUUGAAGGAAUCUGGCUUGGAUUCACCAUUGUUGAGGUCCCGAAAGCUAGAAGGUGAAUUUCUGAGAAGGAGAAGAAAUCUCAAAGGUUCGAAUUUCAAAUUAGCAGGUAAAACCGUCAAAAUUGGUAAAGUUUACCUUUUAUACUGACGAUUACACAGGGAACGAGGCCGGCGCAUUAAAAAUGUCAGUAAUAAUGAGAAUUCGAAUGGGACAUGUUUGGGACGACCUUUGGAUAUCUUAUCAGAUUGGGCCUAACUGUUGAGUUUUUAACUAUUGGUCCAUCUUGUUCAAAUUCAAAUCCUUUAUCCAAUUGGGCUUGUUGCUAUGGGCAUCCAGCCANNNNNNNNNNNNNNNNNNNNNNNNNNNNNNNNNNNNNNNNNNNNNNNNNNNNNNNNNNNNNNNNNNNNNNNNNNNNNNNNNNNNNNNNNNNNNNNNNNNNNNNNNNNNNNNNNNNNNNNNNNNNNNNNNNNNNNNNNNNNNNNNNNNNNNNNNNNNNNNNNNNNNNNNNNNNNNNNNNNNNNNNNNNNNNNNNNNNNNNNNNNNNNNNNNNNNNNNNNNNNNNNNNNNNNNNNNNNNNNNNNNNNNNNNNNNNNNNNNNNNNNNNNNNNNNNNNNNNNNNNNNNNNNNNNNNNNNNNNNNNNNNNNNNNNNNNNNNNNNNNNNNNNNNNNNNNNNNNNNNNNNNNNNNNNNNNNNNNNNNNNNNNNNNNNNNNNCGGCGCAUUAAAUGUCAGUAAUGAUGAGAAUUCGAAUGGGGCGUGUUUGGGACGACCUUUGGAUAUCUUAUCGGAUUAGGCCUCACAGUUGGGUUUCUAAUUAUUGGUCCAUCAUAUUCAAUUUCAAUCCUUUAUUGAUUGGGCCUAUUACUCUCGGCGUUCAGCCAUUCCAUGUCCCAUUUUUUGCACUAAAGUGAGUAUGUCUCAAUUAUUUCCUGUUUUGGGCCUUUAAUAAAUCCUGAUAUCAUGGACCGUUUAUAGUUUUCCAUUAAACAUCUUGUUUAACAAAAAACUAGGGGAUAAUGUUGGGUCAUGAUAUUUCUUCUAUUUGGGCCGGGUAGAUUGUGCUCAUUUAUUAAUUUAAUCCAUUGAGCUUUUAUAAUUAAGCCAUGGGGUUCGUUGGGCCCAGCCACUGUGUUAGCUUUAUUUAAUCCUAUAGGACCGGGUCGGUUCAUUGGAUUGACCCAUUGGGUCACUUAAUAUCUAUUACUUUGACUUGUAAUGAUGAUAUAGUAUGACAGUUGACCAAGAUAUCUGCCAUGCAUUAAUGUGGAUGGGAUUAUAGUCGGCCGGCGGUGUGAACAGUGGCAAAAAGCAGUGGAUAAGCUCCAUGCAGUCGGCAGAACCCACCAAAUCAGGGGAAUAUGUCAGAUGGUAGUGGGUGGCACAGUAAUCCAGACAAAGAUAUUAUUUCUUGACGAGUAAGUCUUCACAAGGAGGUACAUUUCUUGAUAUAUACACAUUCACAUAACUGAUAAUAAUAAUCUCUCUCAUUACACUAAAUUUUAUCAUCCUCUUGAGUUAACUUUGUGAACAGACAUACUUACUCUCACGCCUGAGCUAUUCCCCGACGGUCCGGCCGUCAAGCUUGUGGUGUUUGUCGUGUUUACUGUGCAGGAUCAGGACGUCUUUCGUGAUUGGAACGUGGAGAAAGAUCUUGGCGUUAACCGUUAUGAACAAAGAUUUCAUGAUAUAAAAAAAACAACAAAUUAGUAUAGGUUCUCCUCAACUCAAUUACUACUACUAAAACGCUACCUUAUUUACAGUAUGCAUGUACCACAUUAAUGCUUCUUAUGGUUCAACAUACUUCUGCAAAGCUGAAUGAUCAUUUGUUUACCUUUCAUUCUCUCAUCAAAUCAUGUCUAAUUCUAAAUACAAAAUUCAGGUAUCAAAUACACAAUAUUGAGGGAUCAGGGCUCUGCAGAGUUAGAAGCACAGCGAAAGCCGCUAAGCCAACUACAGCGACAAAGAUAAAUGACGGCGGAACCACAACUAGAGACCCUCAAAGUAUCUCAUGUGGUCUGCAAAAGUCUCCCCGUGUCGAAUUUUGGACACUGAUCCAUCUUCUUCAACCUAAAAACCAUCAAUCUUAUAAUUCUCAGUAUUUUGUCUAAUGGAUAAUUUCAAAGGAUUAAUAGAAUAAAUAACUGGUACUGAAAAAACGUACAAGUAAAAACUUUCCUUGCUAAACAGAUGAGACGAAAUAUAAAGAGGGCGUGAACCCAAAAACACUUCUUAGAAGAUAAGAUCGUCAUUUGGUUUUUAUACGUUGGAAAAAAAAAACCCUCUACUUUUCAAUGCACGAUUGCCUACUAAAAGGAUUUAAAUCUUUCCCAGAAGGGCUUGGCUAGGGUUGUGAGGGCGAUGGUGGUAUUGUCUAUCUCUAUGUUUUAAUUUCUAAUCUUGUCAACAAAUAUCCAAGUAAAGAGGCACAAAGAGCUGGCUGAUGCCUGAUGGUAAUAUAAAAUAGAACAAAUAUAUUUAAGAACUUCAGGAACCAGUAAGAAAGUCAAAAUUACUCACCCAGUAUUCAGGUGGUCGCAUCUUGAGAUUGUAAGUUGAUGCCAUGCUCAUGCAGUAAGCACCUGCAUCAUGAACUACCAGGCCAGCACCCUGAGAAAAUCAUUUACCAGUCAGCAACAUAUUGACUAGAGGAGUAAUAUUGCUCUCACCAUCCCCCAUUUAGAAAUCUAAUACAUUACCCUAGCUGGAGUAGGAAGCUCCCUAUCCUUUCCUAAGAAAUCUGCCGACUCAAAUACUGGACCCACCACAUCAAAAGUAGAAACCUCAGCAUCAGGUUGUGAAGGAGAAACCAGCUCUAUGUGCUGCAUUAACGUCAACAAGUUGGUAACUCCAAGGAGCAAAAGCAAG